ACCUUUGUUUCUUGUUUUAGAAGGAACACUAUAAGCCAUAAAGGCAAUCCCAUAGUCAUAAUCUCUCUAGUAGGCUCUGUAGUUUUCAAAGUUUGAAAUUUACUUAACUUUUUUUUGCAUGCUUGUAUUUGAAAACAUGAAGGAGAUACCAGACUGUAAUCAUCAGUGUGUCUUGGGUACAGGAGAUACCUGACUUGCCCCAGUAUUCACACUGGGCUUGUAAAAGUACCUGUGAUUAAAAUACUUAUAAGCCUUUUUGAAGAAAUAAUGUUGUCUAACUAUAUAGUAGGGGACGCUAAGUGAGAUAAACACUGAGUCUCAUAGAGCGAUUGUAUCAAGAGGAGAUUUUCUGUGAAAUGAAUUUACUUGGGGGUCAAAAUGCUCACAUAUUUUAAAGAAAGCAAGUACUUGUUUGAAACAGUACAGCCCCUCUGUUGAGAUUCAUGUGGCUGGUUACAUGCAAACCAAAGGCACAACUAUGAGUUUGGGUGGAGAAAUCUCCAUUUCUUUUUUCCUUCACUGGUCUUUAAAAAUUAUGUUUUUCUAGUGGCUAGAAGGACAAGUCAGAAAUAGUUAAAUUCUGGCUUGGAAACUCAUGAGAAUUAAUGAUCUGUAGACCAAUUUUUUAUCCUAAAACGUCAUGCUUGAUCCCCAACUUCUUAUGGGACUGCUCUUCAGGGCGAUUUCUUGUUUUUCUUUCUUCAGUGUGUACAUGUGCCCUGAGGCUGUUUGUAAUGGGAGAAUUUCAUAAAAUUCAUAAAUUUAAAACACCCCACACAUCCAAAAUUCUUCCUGAAUGUGUCAUUUUCAAGUUAUUUUCACCAAAUCACAUAAAAUAAAGCAGCACUAUGGUCACCUCUUUUUAAUAUUAUCCCUUAUAUUUAAUUUUAUUGGUCUUUCCUCAUAUACUAGGUACCAUCAUGAAUAAAGCAAAUUACAUUGACCACCUGGGUUUAAAUGGCCAGCUUCCAUCUUUUGGUGUUAUUUCUUUGAAAUAAAAUGUAUCUCACAUUUAAUUUGGGAGUAAGAAAACAUAACAUAAAGAAAUAAUGCAAACUUCAAUGCCAUGGGGGGUGUGGCUUACAUGUGUGCCUUAAAACGUGUUUAUAUAUAAGAGGAAUUAACUUGCUUUGUGUAUAAAAGAGCUAUAGUUCUUCAAAGAGCGGGCAUCUGAUCCCAGAACUGAGUUCACUGAGAUUAAAUUGUGCUCUGGGAAUUGAAGGUGUCCUCAGACCCUGGAAAUCCAAAAUGCAAAUGAAGAAGAAAUCAGGAGGUGUAAACACUGAAGGGAAUGAAUGUUUUCUGAAAUCCAGGCAGAAGGUACAACUGCUUCUAAGUCUCUGGAAGGUUCCAGUGUCCCAGGAGUUCCACAUGCACUCUAAGAUGAUUAUACCACUUUGCUACCAGCUUGCAGUAUUUUCAGUGCUGCAGAAAAGAGUUGCUGCACGAUGAGGAUUUCUGGCGAUGAGAAGCAGAGCUCAUCACUGGCAGGUUAGAUUCUGAAUCAUGGCCUACUAACUAAACCCCGGAGUGCCACACCUUGGAAACACAGAAGACAGAAGUCUCAGUGCGUCAUUUUUCUAGUUGCUUUCAAGGUAUCAUUAAGUGCUGCCUAAGAGUACCCUUCUAGUGCAAAAUGUGUUGUUCAGGAUUCUGUCCAGAUGCUGUUGGGCUGCUUCAAGGAGACUUCAAAUGGUCCUACUAGUGAGCCACCUUAUCGACCUUCACUCUGACAUUUGGCUUGGCUGCGUUUGAAGUGGUCCCAUGAGUGAGUCAUCUUACCGACCUUCACUUUGCCAUUUGGCUCGACUGCAUAUCAGAUGUUGUUGAAACCAAAACUAGUGGAUCCCUCUUCUUUCCAGGGAAGACUACAUUUUAGAAAUCUCCACAAUUACAACUUUAAACUGAAGCCAGAAAAUACAUUUUUUUGAAACUAAUCAGUCAGCAGAUCACCUGUCAUCCAACUGUGUGCCAUAUACAUAUAAUUUCAAGAAACAUUGGCCAUCAAGUACUUAAAAUUUUAGGGAUUUGGGCAACACCCAAUGCAGAACAGAUGAAUUUCAUGGUUUCUUUAUGCAUUUGCACAAAUUAAAAUAUAAGUCUUCACUUGGUUCGUUUGAACCCCUUUCUUCAAUUAGCUCUGUAUGCAGAGAAGGCCAGACAGCAGUUUUCAGAGAGCAAUCAAGAUUCUUCUGCAUGUUGUUACCUCUGUGUGUGAACGCCACUCUGACAGGGCAAAUUCUUGGAUUAAAAGUUGAUUGUACUCUA